GAGUAACUAGUUGACCACAGAGCUCUCUCUGUUCACAGUGAGAAACAUGCUUUGCCUUGGAGGGAGUCCAUCAGCUAAUAUUAACACAGAGAAGGCGAAAGUGCAGGUUGACAGGAAAGCCUGGCUCUCCCCUGACUCAAUUCAGGAGAUCAUUAAGGACGAAGUCUUGCUGUAAAGUACACCUCUCUUCCUCCGAUGACAGUGACAACCAGGGCGCUGAAUCAGGGGCAGCCUGCUCUCCUUUGACAAACACCCACCCACUUUGGAAUGCUGGAUUCUAUUAUUCCCAUCAUGGUCUUCCUGGGGCAGUCACAUGCUGCCUACAACAUCUUGCGCUUCUAAAGCUCAUCAUCUCAUUCCAUCCUUAAACGUAUUUCCACAUCAUCACCUCCCAUUAUUGUGCUGGUGAGCACUCCUGGAUUCCUGUGAGCAUCCUGGGGGAAGGAUGCCUCUCCUUCAGUGUACUGAUGUCAGCUCUAUGCUGCAAACAGAGGAAGAUACCAAACAAAUUGUGACAGCCACAGGAAAUGAUUCUACAGGAGAGACAGCAUCACACCCUCCAAAAGAAAAGCACUGAGAUGUCCUGCCUACCUGGAAGCUAUUGCAGCACCAUCUCCAUGGAAACGCACAGAGACCGUGUCAUGUAACUUGUGGUACACACCCUUAGCACUGCACUGAGAACUUUCUGUGCUUUGUAAGCAUGGAUUGCUCUUCCUUACAGUUUUCGUAGUUUACUUAUACUGUGAAAUGGGCAUUAUUUCCUGACAGAGAUUUGUUUAAGCCUCAUGAAAUCCAUUUGAGUUAAGGAACCUCUUCAGAGCCCACCACUCAAGUCAUCAGUAAUCACCUGUCCAGUGGACUGAGGCCGCUCCUAAGCAGGGACUAUGUCCUCACUGAGCCAAUGCCCACCUGGCACAGAACUCCCUGUGUCAGGAUGUUGUCAGCAAUAGGGAAAACAAACUUGCAUACAGAUGGCUUUCUCUAAGAAGCACCACAAAGCGUACAUCAUACACAAGCCCUACUACCAAGCAUACCUUUGCAUGUCGAAGUGUGGCUUUCUCAGACUUAAAAUCAAACUUAGUUUCUAUAAGGGGAAAACAUAUUCCCCUAUAUGUUAAAACAGAAUAGAGCUUUAACCAAUAGAGCUAUGCAAUUUGUCACCCAUGAGCACAUCCCUUGUCAUACCAUGUCUAACCACUUUGGUGUACCCCCAUGGAAAAUGCUGUUGGAAGCCUCGAAUGCUAGAUCUCCCUGCAGUUGAGCACAAGGAAGUCCUCUUUUGCAUAUCCGGUGUACUGUUUCUUGAUGUGAAGAAUAGAAUGUGCCUCUAGAGCUGUGUGGUCCAAUUAUUACAGUGA
rnacentral:lncRNA from 1 species